rnacentral:misc_RNA from 1 species
GAUGAAGAACGCAGCGAAAUGCGAUAAGUAAUGUGAAUUGGAGAAUUCAGUGAAUCAUCGAAUCUUUGAACGCACAUUGCGCCCGCCAGUAUUCUGGCGGGCAUGCCUGUUCGAGCGUCAUUUCAACCAUCAAGCCCUGCUUGCGUUGGGGUCCUGCGGCUGCCCGCAGGCCCUGAAAACCAGUGGCGGGCUCGCUAGUCACACCGAGCGCAGUAAUACAUCUCGCUUUGGGCGUGCGGCGGGUUCUUGCCGUUAAACACCCCCUUUUUACCAAGGUUGACCUCGGAUCAGGUAGGAAUACCCGCUGAACUUAAGCAUAUCAAUAAGCGGAGGA